AUUGAACGCUGGCGGCAGGCCUAACACAUGCAAGUCGAACGAGUGGCGGACGGGUGAGUUAUGUCUGGGAAACUGCCUGAUGGAGGGGGAUCACUACCGGAAACGGUAGCUAAUACCGCAUACCAUCAGAUGUGCCCAGAUGGGAUUAGCUGGUUGGUGGGGUAACGGCUCACCAAGGCGACGAUCCCUAGCUGGUCUGAGAGGAUGACCAGCCACACUGGAACUGAGACACGGUCCAGAAGCCUACGGGAGGCAGCAGUGGUGAAGAUGGCACAAGGGGCGCAAGCCUGAUGCAGCCAUGCCGCGUGUAUGAAGAAGGCCUUCGGUGUGUAAAGUACUGUCAGCGGGGAGGCGUUACCCGCAGAAGAAGCACCGGCUAACUCCGUGCCAGCAGCCGCGGUAAUUC
rnacentral:rRNA from 1 species